rnacentral:rRNA from 1 species
AACGAACGCUGGCGGCAGGCCUAACACAUGCAAGUCGAGCGAGAACUUCGGUUCUAGCGGCGGACGGGUUAGUAACGCGUGGGAAUAUGCCCUUCACUACGGAAUAGUCCCGGGAAACUGGGUUUAAUACCGUAUACGCCCUUCGGGGGAAAGAUUUAUCGGUGAAGGAUUAGCCCGCGUUGGAUUAGGUAGUUGGUGGGGUAAUGGCCUACCAAGCCGACGAUCCAUAGCUGGUUUGAGAGGAUGAUCAGCAACACUGGGACUGAGACACGGCCCAGACUCCUACGGGAGGCAGCAGUGGGGAAUCUUAGACAAUGGGGGCAACCCUGAUCUAGCCAUGCCGCGUGUGUGAAGAAGGCCUUCGGGUUGUAAAGCACUUUCAGCGAGGAGGAAGGCCAAUAACUUAAUACGUUGUUGGAUUGACGUUACUCGCAGAAGAAGCACCGGCUAACUCCGUGCCAGCCGCCGCAGUAACAC